rnacentral:rRNA from 1 species
GCAGGCGGGCCAAGCGCGGCGGCUCCACUCGUUCCCAUCCCGAACACGACCGUGACCCGCCGCAGCGCCGAUGGUACUGGCCAACCGGCCGGGAGCGUAGGUCCCCGACUGCUCGUUAUUAUAUAGCCCUUUGCGCCCUGCGCAAAGGGCUUUCUUUGU